UACACAAUUGGAAGGGCAACAAGUCCUCCAACUCAUACGACCGUAUGGGUCGUUUGUCACUAUCCAUAAAUACGACCCACACGAGCGUUCUCUAAAUUAGCGCCCCUAUUGGCAACAGGAGGUAUGAUAAAUGAACUUUCGCCUAAAUGCAUUGUGGGUUUAUUUUAACAUGUUUGCUAUUUGCGUUUUGAAUUGUUUGAUUUAAACUCUCCCAGAUGUUCGUGGAUUUUGAUGAUAUGGAUUUUAGAUGACUUCGAGACAUGUACAGGUAAGGUUUUCUCCCGUCUCAUAAAGUAGUCGAUCGUUUAUGAAUAAUAUGAGUUUUUAUUUUCAAAUCGAUACUGGACACUGUAUGUCCUAUUAAACCAGUUUGACGUUCAAAUCAUUUAAUCGAAAUCUGCAGCUUUAUAAAGUUAGUUUUCAUUGUGAUAUUCGUUUGAAAUUCGCCUGUGGUGGAAAGAGGUCAUGUAAAAGUUGCGCAUUUACCAUGUUUUUACCAUAGUAACAUGUCGCUGAACCAUGUCACGUGUUAUAAAACCUCAGUAACCACAACUCAAUGUAUCUCCCGUCAUAACUGUAGUUUUACUUUGGUAUUUGUAGUAUAAACACGUUACCAUGCUUUUCACCACAGUAACUGUGCUUAUUGUGUACUCUUUAGUUAAGUAACACAUUUGCCAUGCCUUUAAUACCUUUUUGUAAUGUAAUUGUGAUUCAGUGUUUUUUUUCUUUUCAGUUUUGCAGUUUCUUCAUAUCACAUACAUCUCCAGCUCCUACAACAACAUUCAGUGACCAGCAGCUCUUUAUGAUGCUCUCUCUCUCUCUCUCUCUCUCUCUCUCUCUCUCUCUCUUUCUCUCUCACUCUCUCUCUCUCUCUCUCUCUCUCUCUCUCAUUUUCGUUUCCUAUUUUUCUGAACUGUAAUUCAUAAAUAAGUCACACAUAUUUUUCUUUCUUUCUCUUGUUCAUCAUGGCAUAUUUUCACAGCUCAGAAUCAGAUUUUGAUCAGUUCUUGUAUUAACAGGGAACUUGUACUCGAAGCUCAACUUGAAGAAGUUUCCAGUGAAGAUGAAGUCCUUCAAAGGUUCGACACAGCUGAAAAGGAAGACCAUGGGCCUGUCAAACCUUGUUUGUGGAGAGGGAUGAAUUUGACCAUCUUGUGUGUUUACGGAGAAGACCAAAAGCUGCUAAGGCAGAUAUUUCCAGAGGUACAAACAGAGCGGAUGGUUGCAUGAUGGCCUCUUUCAGGUUUGUCAACUGAACGUCUACUAGUGUGGCUCAGCAAGUUCCUGUCAUGAUCAGCCCUCUCCAAGAAAGCUGAAGAGCAAAAACACAAAGAACAUCAGUCCUGUUGGGGAUGAGGAAUGAACAUGGCUCUAUUGUGCCCAAACAGAAAAGAGUGAAAAGUCCUAGAAUGAACAAAUCAUCAGGGCAUCAUUUCUGGAAUUUGGGCAGAAAAUGACUGAAUAUGAAAGACUGCAGUAGAAGGAAAGCUGGUACUGAGAACAUUUGUCUUCACUCCAGACUAAAGAGAAGCGGGUCUGAGGCCAGAGAUGGACGAGUCAAUGGUCACCAAAUGCAGCGCUGCAGCCUGAAACUGUGAAGACUGGAUUCCCAAACAGCUGUGUGACUGCACAGAUGUUACGGCCAUAAAAGAAACUUCACAACUGAGAGCCCAUACCUCCAACAACCUUCAACAGGAAUCAAUGGACAUCUACGCAAGGUUUUUCUUUUGUUGAGGACCGUCAGAGACUCCAGCCACACGAGCCAUGGAUUGCUCUCAACAUCACCAUCAGACAGACAUUAUCACAGAACCAGCACCAGCAGACUGCAAAACAAGUUCCUUCAACAGGCAAUCAGACUGAACUGAACUCGUACCAGUAACACCACACACACACACACACACACACACACACACAUACACACACCAGCAGCCUCAUACUGUGUGCACUGCACUCUAUCAGCUACACUGACUGGACUCUGACUCACUAUUAUUCUGCAACCUGAUAUUCUGUUUGCACUAAUUCAUACUGUACUGAAAGUGAAAGUGACGUGACAUACAGUCAAGUAUGGUGACCCAUACUCAGAAUUUGUGCUCUGCAUUUAACCCAUCCGAAGUGCACACACACAGAGCAGUGAACACACACUGUGAACACACACCCGGAGCAGUGGGCAGAGGUAUAUCUACAGUAUACAGUGAUUGUUGUUAAUUGUUUUCAUUUUGUUCUCUCUGUAUAGUAUAGUAUUGCACUAUAUUUUCUACCUGUAUUGAGCUCUUAUGUAUACGGUUUAUAUUUUUGAUACUGUAUAUGUGUUGCAAAUAUAUUCAGUACUUGUCAUGCUGCAGUUUGCAGAAAAGCAUUUUACCACCUGUAUACUUGCAUUCAUGGUAUUGUGAUAAUAAAAUGAUUUGAUUUGAA